CGCGUAGGUGGUUCGAUCAGUCGGAGGUGAAAGCCCUCGGCUCAACCGAGGAUCCGCGUCCGAUACUGUCGAACUUGAGUGCAGGAGAGGAGAGCGGAAUUCCCAGUGUAGCGGUGAAAUGCGUAGAUAUUGGGAGGAACACCGGUGGCGAAGGCGGCUCUCUGGACUGCCACUGACACUGAGGCGCGAAAGCUAGGGGAGCAAACGGGAUUAGAUACCCCGGUAGUCCUAGCCGUAAACGAUGGGCACUAGGUGUGGGAGGUAUCGACCCCUUCGUGCCGCAGCUAACGCACUAAGUGCCCCGCCUGGGGAGUACGGCCGCAAGGUUGAA
rnacentral:rRNA from 1 species